AAAAACUCCGGUGGUAUGAGAUGGACCCGCGUCUGAUUAGCUAGUUGGUGGGGUAACGGCCCACCAAGGCGACGAUCAGUAGCCGACCUGAGAGGGUGACCGACCACAUUGGGACUGAGACACGGCCCAAACUCCUACGGGAGGCAGCAGUGGGGAAUAUUGCACAAUGGGGGAAACCCUGAUGCAGCAACGCCGCGUGAGUGAAGAAGUAUUUCGGUAUGUAAAGCUCUAUCAGCAGGGAAGAAAAUGACGGUACCUGAGUAAGAAGCCCCGGCUAACUACGUGCCAGCAGCCGCGGUAAUACGUAGGGGGCAAGCGUUAUCCGGAUUUACUGGGUGUAAAGGGAGCGUAGACGGCGAUGCAAGUCUGAAGUGAAAGCCCGGGGCUCAACCCCGGGACUGCUUUGGAAACUGUAUGGCUGGAGUGCUGGAGAGGCAAGCGGAAUUCCUAGUGUAGCGGUGAAAUGCGUAGAUAUUAGGAAGAACACCAGUGGCGAAGGCGGCUUGCUGGACAGUAACUGACGUUGAGGCUCGAAAGCGUGGGGAGCAAACAGGAUUAGAUACCCUGGUAGUCCACGCUGUAAACGAUGAAUGCUAGGUGUUGGGGAGCAAAGCUUCUCG
rnacentral:rRNA from 1 species